AUGGCGACGCUGGCGUUCGCGGUGCGCCGGCGCGAUCCAGAGCUCGUCGGCCCGGCCGCGCCGACGCCUCGUGAGACCAAGCGCCUGUCUGAGAUCGACGACCAGGACACGCUGCGCGGGCACGUGUCCUUCGCCCUCGUCUACCGCGCCCGCGUGAUGGAUGACGACGACGUCGCACCGGUUCACCCGGCCGGAGUCAUCCGGCGCGCGCUCGGUGAAGUACUGGUGCACUACUACCCGCUGGCUGGACGGCUCAGAGAGGCGGAGGGGCGGAAGCUAGUGGUCGAGUGCAGCGGUGAGGGGGUGAUGUUCGUGGAGGCCGACGCCGACGUGCGGCUGGAGGAGCUCGAGGGGGCCGGGCUCAGGCCGCCGUUCCCGUGCAUGGACCAGCUGCUCUUCGACGUGGAGGGCUCCGGCGGCGUGCUCAACUGCCCGUUGCUGCUCAUCCAGGUGACUCGGCUGCUCUGGGGCGGCUUCAUCUUCGCGCUCCGCCUCAACCAUACCAUGUGCGACGCCAUCGGCAUCGUGCAGUUCAUGAACGCCGUCGCCGAGCUCGCCCGCGGCCUCCCGGCGCCGACCGUCGCUCCCCCGUGGUCCCGUGAGCUCCUAGAGGCGCGCAACCCGCCUAUGGCGUCGUUCCCGCACCGCGAGUUCGACCUUAUUCCACCGCCGGCGCCGCCGGCCGGCGACAUGGUCAUGCGGUCCUUCAUUUUCGGCCCCUCCGACCUCGCAGCGAUCAAGAAGCAUCUCCCUCCUCUCGUUCGCGACAAGGCCACCACCUUCGAGGCGCUGGCGGCAUACCUCUGGUGCGCCCGCACGGCGGCGCUCGAGGUCCCGCAGGGCGAGGAAGCGCGGCUGGUCAUCAUCGCCAACUUCCGGGCCUUCGUCGAGCUGGGCCUGCCGGGCGGAUACUAUGGAAACGCGUGCGUGCCCCUGGCCGCGCUGGCCGACGCCGCUGCACUGCGCGGGGGUGGCUCGCUGGCUGACGCGGUGGCGCUGGUGCGGCGGGCCAAGGCUGCAGUGACCGCCGAGUACGUGCGUUCCACGGUCGACGUGCUGGUUCUGCGCGGCCGGCCGUUCUUGGCACUGCAGAACCUGUUCGUCGUGUCCGACAACCGGCACGCCGGGUUCCACCGCGUCGACUUCGGGUGGGGCGAGCCGGUGUACGGCGGCCCGGCCGACACUGUCUUCGGCGUGACCUUCCUCGUCCCCGUCAAGGACCGUGACGGGGAGGACGCGAUUACCGUGCCGAUCGUGUUGCCACGGCCGGCCAUGGAGCGGUUCGCGGCGGAGAUGGAGAGCCUGUGCAAGGCGUAG
rnacentral:rRNA from 1 species